UGGGGAAUUUUGCACAAUGGGGGAAACCCUGAUGCAGCGACGCCGCGUGAUUUAGAAGGCCUUCGGGUUGUAAAAAUCUUUUCUAUGGGAAGAAAAUGACAGUACCAUAGGAAUAAGGACCGGCUAAUUACGUGCCAGCAGCCGCGGUAAUACGUAAGGUCCGAGCGUUGUCCGGAAUCAUUGGGCGUAAAGGGUACGUAGGCGGGUAAGCAAGUAGAAGUGAAAUCCUAUAGCUCAACUAUAGUAAGCUUUUAAAACUGCUCAUCUUGAGGUAUGGAAGGGAAAGUGGAAUUCCUAGUGUAGCGGUGAAAUGCGCAGAUAUUAGGAGGAAUACCGGUGGCGAAGGCGACUUUCUGGCCAUAACCUGACGCUGAGGUACGAAAGCGUGGGUAGCAAACAGG
rnacentral:rRNA from 1 species